UACGUAGGGUGCGAGCGUUAAUCGGAAUUACUGGGCGUAAAGCGUGCGCAGGCGGUGAUGUAAGACCGAUGUGAAAUCCCCGGGCUUAACCUGGGAACUGCAUUGGUGACUGCAUUGCUGGAGUAUGGCAGAGGGGGGUGGAAUUCCACGUGUAGCAGUGAAAUGCGUAGAGAUGUGGAGGAACACCGAUGGCGAAGGCAGCCCCCUGGGCCAAAACUGACGCUCAUGCACGAAAGCGUGGGGAGCAAACAGG
rnacentral:rRNA from 1 species